CACAAGCGGUGGAUGAUGUGGAUUAAUUCGAUGCAACGCGAAGAACCUUACUACCCUUGACAUGUCCGGAACUUGCCAGAGAUGGCUUGGUGCCGAAAGGGAAUCGGAACACAGGUGCUGCAUGGCUGUCGUCAGCUCGUGUCGUGAGAUGUUGGGUUAAGUCCCCGCAACGAGCGCAACCCUUAUCAUUAGUUGCUACGCAAGGGCACUCUAAUGAGACUGCCGGUGACAAACCGGAGGAAGGUGGGGAUGACGUCAAGUCCUCAUGGCCCUUAUGGGUAGGGCUUCACACGUCAUACAAUGGUCGGUACAGAGGGUUGCCAAGCCGCGAGGCGGAGCCAAUCCCACAAAGCCGAUCGUAGUCCGGAUUGUUCUCUGCAACUCGAGAGCAUGAAGUCGGAAUCGCUAGUAAUCGCAGGUCAGCAUACUGCGGUGAAUACGUUCCCGGGCCUU
rnacentral:rRNA from 1 species